rnacentral:rRNA from 1 species
GACGAACGCUGGCGGCGUGCCUAAUACAUGCAAGUAGAACGCACAGUUUAUACCGUAGCUUGCUACACCAUACACUGUGAGUUGCGAACGGGUGAGUAACGCGUAGGUAACCUGCCUGGUAGCGGGGGAUAACUAUUGGAAACGAUAGCUAAUACCGCAUAAUAUUGAUUAUUGCAUGAUAAUUGAUUGAAAGAUGCUAUUGCAUCACUACCAGAUGGACCUGCGUUGUAUUAGCUAGUAGGUGAGGUAACGGCUCACCUAGGCGACGAUACAUAGCCGACCUGAGAGGGUGAUCGGCCACACUGGGACUGAGACACGGCCCAGACUCCUACGGGAGGCAGCAGUAGGGAAUCUUCGGCAAUGGACGAAAGUCUGACCGAGCAACGCCGCGUGAGUGAAGAAGGUUUUCGGAUCGUAAAGCUCUGUUGUAAGAGAAGAACGGGUGUGAGAGUGGAAAGUUCACACUGUGACGGUAGCUUACCAGAAAGGGACGGCUAACUACGUG